rnacentral:rRNA from 1 species
GAUGAACGCUGGCGGCGUGCCUAAUACAUGCAAGUCGAGCGAACAGACGAGGAGCUUGCUCCUCUGACGUUAGCGGCGGACGGGUGAGUAACACGUGGAUAACCUACCUAUAAGACUGGGAUAACUUCGGGAAACCGGAGCUAAUACCGGAUAAUAUAUUGAACCGCAUGGUUCAAUAGUGAAAGACGGUUUUGCUGUCACUUAUAGAUGGAUCCGCGCCGCAUUAGCUAGUUGGUAAGGUAACGGCUUACCAAGGCAACGAUGCGUAGCCGACCUGAGAGGCUGAGCGGCCACACUGGAACGAAGACACGGUCCAGCCUACUACGAGAGGGAGCAGUAGCGAAUCUUCCGCAAUGGGCGAAGUCCUGACGGAUCGACGCCGCGUGAGUGAUUAAGGUCUUCGGAUCGUAAAACUCUUUUAUGAGGGAAGAACAUAUGUGUAAGUAACUAUGCACGUCUUGACGGUACCUAAUCAGAAAGCCACGGCUAACUACGUG